rnacentral:rRNA from 1 species
AUUGAACGCUGGCGGCAUGAUUUACACAUGCAAGUCGAACGGUAACAGGCCGCAAGGUGCUGACGAGUGGCGAACGGGUGAGUAAUGCAUCGGAACGUGCCCAGUCGUGGGGGAUAACUACUCGAAAGAGUAGCUAAUACCGCAUACGAUCUAUGGAUGAAAGCGGGGGACCGUAAGGCCUCGCGCGAUUGGAGCGGCCGAUGUCAGAUUAGGUAGUUGGUGGGGUAAAGGCUCACCAAGCCAACGAUCUGUAGCUGGUCUGAGAGGACGACCAGCCACACUGGGACUGAGAAACGGCCCAGACUCCUACGGGAGGCAGCAGUGGGGAAUUUUGGACAAUGGGCGCAAGCCUGAUCCAGCAAUGCCGCGUGCAGGAAGAAGGCCUUCGGGUUGUAAACUGCUUUUGUACGGAACGAAACGGCUCUGGUUAAUACCCGGGGCUAAUGACGGUACCGUAAGAAUAAGCACCGGCUAACUACGUG